UGGGAUUGCCUUAGUAACGGCGAGUGAAGCGGCAAUAGCUCAAAUUUGAAAGCUGGCCCCUUUGGGGUCCGCGUUGUAAUUUGUAGAGGAUGAUUCGGCGAGGGCUCCCGUCUAAGUCCCCUGGAACGGGGCGUCAUAGAGGGUGAGAAUCCCGUAUGUGAUGGGUUGCCUUAGCCAUGUGAAUCUCCUUCGACGAGUCGAGUUGUUUGGGAAUGCAGCUCUAAAUGGGAGGUAAAUUUCUUCUAAAGCUAAAUACCGGCCAGAGACCGAUAGCGCACAAGUAGAGUGAUCGAAAGAUGAAAAGCACUUUGGAAAGAGAGUUAAAAAGUACGUGAAAUUGUUGAAAGGGAAGCGCUUGCAGCCAGACUUGUCCGCAGUUGCUCAGCCGGUCUCCUGACCGGCGUACUCUUCUGCGGCCAGGCCAGCAUCAGUUCGGGCGGUCGGAUAAAGACCCCAGGAAUGUAGCUCCUCUCGGGGAGUGUUAUAGCCUGGGGUGGAAUGCGGCCAGCCUGGACUGAGGAUCUCGCUUCGGCUAGGAUGCUGGCGUAAUGGCUGUAAGCGGCCCGUCUUGAAACACGGACCAAGGAGUCUAACAUCUAUGCGAGUGUUUGGGUGUCAAACCCAUACGCGUAAUGAAAGUGAACGGAGGUGGGAACCCUCACGGGUGCACCAUCGACCGAUCCUGAUGUCUUCGGAUGGAUUUGAGUAAGAGCAUAGCUGUUGGGACCCGAAAGAUGGUGAACUAUGCCUGAAUAGGGUGAAGCCAGAGGAAACUCUGGUGGAGGCUCGCAGCGGUUCUGACGUGCAAAUCGAUCGUCAAAUUUGGGUAUAGGGGCGAAAGACUAAUCGAACCAUCUAG
rnacentral:rRNA from 1 species